ACGUUCCCGGGCCUUGUACACACCGCCCGUCACGUCAUGAAAGUCGGUAACACCCGAAGCCCAUGGCCCAACCUCGUAAGGGGAGGGAGUGGUCGAAGGUGGGACUGGCGAUUGGGACGAAGUCGUAACAAGGUAGCCGUACCGGAAGGUGCGGCUGGAUCACCUCCUUUCUAAGGAG
rnacentral:rRNA from 1 species